ACAGGUGCUGCAUGGCUGUCGUCAGCUCGUGUCGUGAGAUGUUGGGUUAAGUCCCGUAACGAGCGCAACCCUUGUCCUUAGUUACCAGCACGUUAUGGUGGGCACUCUAAGGAGACUGCCGGUGACAAACCGGAGGAAGGUGGGGGAUGACGUCAAGUCAUCAUGGCCCUUACGGCCUGGGCUACACACGUGCUACAAUGGUCGGUGCAAAGGGUUGCCAAGCCGCGAGGUGGAGCUAAUCCCAUAAAACCGAUCGUAGUCCGGAUCGCAGUCUGCAACUCGACUGCGUGAAGUCGGAAUCGCUAGUAAUCGUGAAUCAGAAUGUCACGGUGAAUACGUUCCCGGGCCUU
rnacentral:rRNA from 1 species